UACAGAGGUCUCAAGCGUUGUUCGGAUUCAUUGGGCGUAAAGGGUGCGUAGGUGGCGGGUAAGUCAGGUGUGAAAUCUCGGAGCUCAACGAUCCGAAACUGCACUUGAUACUGCCUUGCUUGAGUACUGGAGAGGAGAUUGGAAUUUACGGUGUAGCAGUGAAAUGCGUAGAUAUCGUAAGGAAGACCAGUGGCGAAGGCGAAUCUCUGGACAGUUACUGACACUGAGGCACGAAGGCCAGGGGAGCAAACGGG
rnacentral:rRNA from 1 species